rnacentral:rRNA from 1 species
GUGGGGAAUCUUGCGCAAUGGGCGAAAGCCUGACGCAGCCAUGCCGCGUGAAUGAUGAAGGUCUUAGGAUUGUAAAAUUCUUUCACCGGGGACGAUAAUGACGGUACCCGGAGAAGAAGCUCCGGCUAACUUCGUGCCAGCAGCCGCGGUAAUACGAAGGGGGCUAGCGUUGCUCGGAAUUACUGGGCGUAAAGGGCGCGUAGGCGGACAGCUUAGUCAGAGGUGAAAGCCCAGGGCUCAACCUUGGAAUUGCCUUUGAUACUGGCUGUCUUGAGUUUGGGAGAGGUGAGUGGAACUCCGAGUGUAGAGGUGAAAUUCGUAGAUAUAGGAAGGAACACCAGUGGCGAAGGCGACUACCUGGACUGAUACUGACACUGAGGUGCGAAAGCGUGGGGAGCAAACAGGAUUAGAUACCCGAGUAGUCC